GAUGAACGCUGGCGGCGUGCCUAAUACAUGCCAGUCGAGCGAACGGACGAGAAGCUUGCUUCUCUGAUGUUAGCGGCGGACGGGUGAGUAACACGUGGAUAACCUACCUAUAAGACUGGGAUAACUUCGGGAAACCGUAGCUAAUACCGGAUAAUAUUUUGAACCGCAUGGUUCAAAAGUGAAAGACGGUCUUGCUGUCACUUAUAGAUGGAUCCGCGCUGCAUUAGCUAGUUGGUAAGGUAACGGCUUACCAAGGCAACGAUGCAUAGCCGACCGGAGAGGGUGAUCGGCCACACUGGAACUGGGACACGGUCCAGACUCCUACGGGAGGCAGCAGUAGGGAAUCUUCCGCAAUGGGCGAAAGCCUGACGGAGCAACGCCGCGUGAGUGAUGAAGGUCUUCGGAUCGUAAAACUCUGCUAUUAGGGAAGAACAUAUGUGUAAGUAACUGUGCACAUCUUGACGGUACCUAAUCAGAAAGCCACGGCUAACUACGUG
rnacentral:rRNA from 1 species